rnacentral:lncRNA from 1 species
AACAACAACAACAAACCCAGUGUAUUCCCACCUAGUGGGGGCUGGAGGGGGUAAGAUGUACGCAGUCCAUACCUCUACCUCUGAAGAAGUAGAAAGGCUGUUUCCAAUUGAUCCCCGGCACAAGGCACGAGAUACCACACAAACACAUAGUAAAGCACAGCACAAGAUUACAUAACAUAAAUACGGCACCCAUAAGUAAUAUAAAAUAGAGGAAAGCACACAGAUUCGUAAUAA